UACAGAGGUCUCAAGCGUUGUUCGGAUUCAUUGGGCGUAAAGGGUGCGUAGGCGGCGGGGCAAGUCAGGUGUGAAAUCCCGGGGCUCAACCCUGGAACUGCACUUGAUACUGCUUUGCUAGAGUACUGGAGAGGAGAUUGGAAUUUACGGUGUAGCAGUGAAAUGCGUAGAUAUCGUAAGGAAGACCAGUGGCGAAGGCGGGUCUCUGGGCAGUAACUGACGCUGAGGAGCGAAAGCGUGGGGAGCGAACAGG
rnacentral:rRNA from 1 species